AGGUUGGGCCAGAGGUUUAACAAAACACAAUUUAAUUAUUUUACAGUUAGUCAAAUUUUGAAUUAAUCUUCAAAACUUUCAACAACGGAUCUCUUGGUUCUCGCAUCGAUGAAGAACGCAGCGAAAUGCGAUAAGUAAUAUGAAUUGCAGAUUUUCGUGAAUCAUCGAAUCUUUGAACGCACAUUGCGCCCUCUGGUAUUCCAGAGGGCAUGCCUGUUUGAGCGUCAUUUCUCUCUCAAACCCCCGGGUUUGGUAUUGAGUGAUACUCUUAGUCGGACUAGGCGUUUGCUUGAAAAGUAUUGGCAUGGGUAGUACUAGAUAGUGCUGUCGACCUCUCAAUGUAUUAGGUUUAUCCAACUCGUUGAAUGGUGUGGCGGGAUAUUUCUGGUAUUGUUGGCCCGGCCUUACAACAACCAAACAAGUUUGACCUCAAAUCAGGUAGGAAUACCCGCUGAACUUAAGCAUAUCAAUAAGCGGAGGAAAUCGGAUCCGGGGGC
rnacentral:rRNA from 1 species